rnacentral:sRNA from 1 species
GAGGGCAAAAAGAGGCUCCGCAGCGAGGACGGGAGGUCGUCCGGGGGCCCACCAUGCUGGUGACUGCCUACCUUGCUUUUGUAGGCCUCCUGGCCUCCUGCCUGGGGCUGGAACUGUCAAGAUGCCGGGCUAAACCCCCUGGAAGGGCCUGCAGCAAUCCCUCCUUCCUUCGGUUUCAACUGGACUUCUAUCAGGUCUACUUCCUGGCCCUGGCAGCUGAUUGGCUCCAGGCCCCCUACCUCUAUAAACUCUACCAGCAUUACUACUUCCUGGAAGGUCAAAUUGCCAUCCUCUAUGUCUGUGGCCUUGCCUCUACAGUCCUCUUUGGCCUAGUGGCCUCCUCCCUUGUGGAUUGGCUGGGUCGCAAGAAUUCUUGUGUCCUUUUCUCCCUGACUUACUCACUAUGCUGCUUAACCAAACUCUCUCA